rnacentral:rRNA from 1 species
GACGAACGCUGGCGGCGUGCCUAAUACAUGCAAGUUGAGCGAUGAAGAUUGGUGCUUGCACCAAUUUGAAGAGCAGCGAACGGGUGAGUAACGCGUGGGGAAUCUGCCUUUGAGCGGGGGACAACAUUUGGAAACGAAUGCUAAUACCGCAUAACAACUUUAAACAUAAGUUUUAAGUUUGAAAGAUGCAAUUGCAUCACUCAAAGAUGAUCCCGCGUUGUAUUAGCUAGUUGGUGAGGUAAAGGCUCACCAAGGCGAUGAUACAUAGCCGACCUGAGAGGGUGAUCGGCCACAUUGGGACUGAGACACGGCCCAAACUCCUACGGGGGGCAGCAGUAGGGAAUCUUCGGCAAUGGACGAAAGUCUGACCGAGCAACGCCGCGUGAGUGAAGAAGGUUUUCGGAUCGUAAAACUCUGUCGGUAGAGAAGAACGUUGGUGAGAGUGGAAAGCUCAUCAAGUGACGGUAACUACCCAGAAAGGGACGGCUAACUACGUG